rnacentral:rRNA from 1 species
AGCGAACGCUGGCGGCAGGCCUAACACAUGCAAGUCGAACGGACCCUUCAGGGUUAGUGGCGGACGGGUGAGUAACACGUGGGAACGUGCCUUUAGGUUCGGAGUAGCUCCUGGAAACGGGUGGUAAUGCCGAAUGUGCCCUUCGGGGGAAAGAUUUAUCGCCUUUAGAGCGGCCCGCGUCUGAUUAGCUAGUUGGUGGUGUAACGGACCACCAAGGCGACGAUCAGUAGCUGGUCUGAGAGGAUGAUCAGCCACAUUGGGACUGAGACACGGCCCAAACUCCUACGGGAGGCAGCAGUGGGGAAUCUUGCGCAAUGGGCGAAAGCCUGACGCAGCCAUGCCGCGUGAAUGAUGAAGGUCUUAGGAUUGUAAAAUUCUUUCACCGGGGACGAUAAUGACGGUACCCGGAGAAGAAGCCCCGGCUAACUUCGUGCCAGCCGCCGCAGUAACAC